UUGCUUCACUUGAAAUCAUCCAUGAAUCAACCUGAAAUGCUGCUGAACUGAAAACCAAACCUCUCACCAAAGGAACUAUUUCAUUUUCACUCAAAUUUCUCAGAUCUGAAAUUCAACUAAAUCUGGUUGAAUUUCUAGAUCUAAAGUUCCUAGACCUUCAUCCUAUAGUCCAUUGUACUUCUGUUUGGCAAAAGGAAGCAAGGAAGCAAG
rnacentral:lncRNA from 1 species